GGAAGUAAAAGUCGUAACAUGGUUUCCGUAGGUGAACCUGCGGAAGGAUCAUUAACGAGUUAGGGUCUUUUAGGCCCGACCUCCCAACCCUUUGUUUACUGAACCAUUGUUGCCUCGGUGGGUCCGUCUUACGACCGCCGGGGGAUCGCCGCGAGGCGCCCCCUGGCCAGCGCCCACCGAUAGCCCAACCUUUAAAACCCUUUGUGAAUCGUGUCUUAUGUCUAAAUUUAUGAUUAAACAAUCAAAACAAAACUUUCAACAACGGAUCUCUUGGUUCUG
rnacentral:misc_RNA from 1 species